UUUAUCGCAUAACUCCGAGCUUGUUUGUCUAAGUUCUUUUACGAAUAUGACGGCAACGCCAAUAACGAUGUAUGUUAUUCAGGGAUACGUUGGAAACGGCUUAUCCUCUCCAUUUAGAAAGGUGUCUAAUGCAAUUUCAA
rnacentral:ncRNA from 1 species